UGCAGUCGAGCGAACAGAUAAGGAGCUUGCUCCUUUGACGUUAGCGGCGGACGGGUGAGUAACACGUGGGUAACCUACCUAUAAGACUGGGAUAACUUCGGGAAACCGGAGCUAAUACCGGAUAACAUUUGGAACCGCAUGGUUCUAAAGUGAAAGAUGGUUUUGCUAUCACUUAUAGAUGGACCCGCGCCGUAUUAGCUAGUUGGUAAGGUAACGGCUUACCAAGGCGACGAUACGUAGCCGACCUGAGAGGGUGAUCGGCCACACUGGAACUGAGACACGGUCCAGACUCCUACGGGAGGCAGCAGUAGGGAAUCUUCCGCAAUGGGCGAAAGCCUGACGGAGCAACGCCGCGUGAGUGAUGAAGGGUUUCGGCUCGUAAAACUCUGUUAUUAGGGAAGAACAAACGUGUAAGUAACUGUGCACGUCUUGACGGUACCUAAUCAGAAAGCCACGGCUAACUACGUGCCAGCAGCCGCGGUAAUACGUAGGUGGCAAGCGUUAUCCGGAAUUAUUGGGCGUAAAGCGCGCGUAGGCGGUUUCUUAAGUCUGAUGUGAAAGCCCACGGCUCAACCGUGGAGGGUCAUUGGAAACUGGGAAACUUGAGUGCAGAAGAGGAAAGUGGAAUUCCAUGUGUAGCGGUGAAAUGCGCAGAGAUAUGGAGGAACACCAGUGGCGAAGGCGACUUUCUGGUCUGUAACUGACGCUGAUGUGCGAAAGCGUGGGGAUCAAACAGGAUUAGAUACCCUGGUAGUCCACGCCGUAAACGAUGAGUGCUAAGUGUUAGGGGGUUUCCGCCCCUUAGUGCUGCAGCUAACGCAUUAAGCACUCCGCCUGGGGAGUACGACCGCAAGGUUGAAACUCAAAGGAAUUGACGGGGACCCGCACAAGCGGUGGAGCAUGUGGUUUAAUUCGAAGCAACGCGAAGAACCUUACCAAAUCUUGACAUCCUUUGAAAACUCUAGAGAUAGAGCCUUCCCCUUCGGGGGACAAAGUGACAGGUGGUGCAUGGUUGUCGUCAGCUCGUGUCGUGAGAUGUUGGGUUAAGUCCCGCAACGAGCGCAACCCUUAAGCUUAGUUGCCAUCAUUAAGUUGGGCACUCUAGGUUGACUGCCGGUGACAAACCGGAGGAAGGUGGGGAUGACGUCAAAUCAUCAUGCCCCUUAUGAUUUGGGCUACACACGUGCUACAAUGGACAAUACAAAGGGCAGCUAAACCGCGAGGUCAUGCAAAUCCCAUAAAGUUGUUCUCAGUUCGGAUUGUAGUCUGCAACUCGACUACAUGAAGCUGGAAUCGCUAGUAAUCGUAGAUCAGCAUGCUACGGUGAAUACGUUCCCGGGUCUUGUACACACCGCCCGUCACACCACGAGAGUUUGUAACACCCGAAGCCGGUGGAGUAACCAUUUAUGGAGCUAGCCGUCG
rnacentral:rRNA from 1 species